ACAGCAGCAGCCGCGGGAAUACAGAGGAUGCAAGCGUUAUCCGGAAUGAUUGGGCGUAAAGCGUCUGUAGGUGGCUUUUCAAGUCCGCCGUCAAAUCCCAGGGCUCAGCCCUGGACAGGCGGUGGAAACUACCAAGCUGGAGUAUGGUAGGGGCAGAGGGAAUUUCCGGUGGAGCGGUGAAAUGCGUCGAGAUCGGAAAGAACACCAACGGCGAAAGCACUCUGCUGGGCCGACACUGACACUGAGAGACGAAAGCCAGGGGAGCAAAUGGGAUUAGAUACCCCAGUAGUCCCUGUCUCUUAUAC
rnacentral:rRNA from 1 species